UAACACGUGGGGAACCUGCCCCAUAGUCUGGGAUACCACUUGGAAACAGGUGCUAAUACCGGAUAAGAAAGCGGAUCGCAUGAUCAGCUUUUAAAAGGCGGCGUAAGCUGUCGCUAUGGGAUGGCCCCGCGGUGCAUUAGCUAGUUGGUAAGGUAAGGGCUUACCAAGGCGAUGAUGCAUAGCCGAGUUGAGAGACUGAUCGGCCACAUUGGGACUGAGACACGGCCCAAACUCCUACGGGAGGCAGCAGCC
rnacentral:rRNA from 1 species